AUGUAUAUUCCUACAACAUAGUGUUAAUGCACUGAAUGCCAUUGGAACUUCGCAGUUAAGCACACUCAAGCUAGAGUAUUACUAGGAUGGCUUACCACUCAGGAAUUCAUAGUAUUUUACAUG
rnacentral:rRNA from 1 species